rnacentral:lncRNA from 1 species
CAAAGGCAAACCUGGCCAAGCAGGAAGGCCGGUUGGCUGUGGCCAAUGCGGAAUUAGGGAAGGCCCAGGCGCUGCUGGACGAGAAGCAGGCUGAGCUGGAUAAAGUGCAGGCCAAAUUUGACGCCGCGAUGAACGAGAAAAUGGACCUGCUCAAUGAUGCCGACAUGUGCAGGAAGAAGAUGCAGGCAGCCUCCACGCUCAUUGAUGGGCUGAGUGGAGAGAAAGUCCGGUGGACACAGCAAAGCAAGGAGUUCAAGGCGCAGAUUAACAGACUCGUAGGCGAUGUUCUGCUAUGCACAGGCUUCCUCUCCUACCUCGGCCCCUUCAAUCAGAUAUUUAGGAACUAUUUGCUUAAAGACCAGUGGGAGUUAGAGAUGAAAGCGCGGAAAAUCCCUUUCACCGAAAACCUGAAUCUUAUUGCGAUGUUGGUGGACCCUCCCACAGUAAGUUUGACUCUUCCUAGAAAUAUCAGAAUUUCAGCCUCAUUUUAGUUCUUGCCGUACACCACCGGAAACCAAAGAAUGUCUGUUUUAGUUGUCUGUAGUUGAAAACUUUAUUUCCAUUACUUAAGACAGCUUUAAUGGCUUUCCGCUAUUUAAAAAUGUUAAUUCUGGG